UUGCCGCUGCUCUGCUAGCUAACAGUCCGUCCUGUGUCAUCGGCCUCAUGGAUCCUGGUGGAAGCAAGCUGGACUCCAGUCUGCCUCAACCUGAGAACCCGUGCCUGAUCGUGGAGGACUCCCAGCCGGACAGUGUGGCUCUGAAGGACGAUCCUGAAAGCAGUUACUGAGCUCUGCUGGCUCGCCGCCUGUCCAGCCUGCAGCCGACCUCCCGCAGCCCGGGAGUCGAACUGCUCCUCAACACUG